CAUUAAUCAUUUCCAGAGGAAGUGGCAAACUCAAGUUAAACCAUUGAUUCCUUUGGGUGUCAUUAUAACCCAGAUGUCAAGAUUUGUAAGGCACUUUGAAGGAUUACUGGAGCUGCUAUCCAACCAGAGAAGGAUGCAAAAAAAAACUUUAUUAAAGAGUGCAUCCACCAGAAUGACCCCAUUUUAGGAUGUCAGCUCCCAUAUUUUUUUCUCUUCAGGAAAACAAUCUGAUGAAUGAAAAGCAAGAUAUCUGCUCUGUCAUGGGAUCUGUCCCAGCAUGGUACUGUGCAGCUACAGAAAAUCAUCAAAAAAUAUGUAUUAUAAAAACUGUAUAUAAAAAUAGUAACCCCAAAUAAAC